rnacentral:rRNA from 1 species
GUGCCAGCAGCCGCGGUAAUACGUAGGGGGCGAGCGUUAUCCGGAAUUAUUGGGCGUAAAGAGUACGUAGGCGGGAGAUUAAGCGCAGGGUUUAAGGCAGAGGCUUAACCACUGUAUGCCCUGUGAACUGAUCUUCUUGAGUGCAGGAGGGGAAAGCGGAAUUCCUAGUGUAGCGGUGAAAUGCGUAGAUAUUAGGAGGAACACCAGUGGCGAAGGCGGCUUUCUGGACUGUAACUGACGCUGAGGUACGAAAGUGUGGGGAGCAAACAGGAUUAGAUACCCUGGUAGUCCACACCGUAAACGAUGAGCACUAGGUGUCGGGGUCGUAAGAUUUCGGUGCCGCAGUUAACGCAAUAAGUGCUCCGCCUGGGGAGUACGUACGCAAGUAUGAAACUCAAAGGAAUUGACGGGGACCCGCACAAGCAGCGGAGCAUGUGGUUUAAUUCGAAGCAACGCGAAGAACCUUACCAGGGCUUGACAUCCCUCUGACCGGCUGGGUAAAACCGGCCUUUCUUCGGACAGAGGUGACAGGUGGUGCAUGGUUGUCGUCAGCUCGUGUCGUGAGAUGUUGGGUUAAGUCCCGCAACGAGCGCAACCCUUGUCAUUAGUUGCCAUCAUUGAGUUGGGCACUCUAGUGAGACUGCCGGGGACAACUCGGAGGAAGGUGGGGAUGACGUCAAAUCAUCAUGCCCCUUAUGUUCUGGGCUACACACGUGCUACAAUGGUCGGUACAAAGAGCAGCGAGACCGCGAGGUGGAGCAAAUCUCAAAAGCCGAUCCCAGUUCGGAUUGCAGGCUGCAACCCGCCUGCAUGAAGUCGGAGUUGCUAGUAAUCGUGGAUCAGAAUGCCACGGUGAAUGCGUUCCCGGGUCUUGUACACACCGCCCGU